AUACCGGCGGCUCGAGUGGUGACCACUUUUAUUGGGCUUAAAGCGUUCGUAGCUGGACUCUUAAGUCUCUUGGGAAAUCCCGCGGCUCAACCGUGGGGCGUUUAAGAGAUACUGGGAGUCUAGGAACCGGGAGAGGUAAGAGGUACUUCGGGGGUAGGAGUGAAAUCCUGUAAUCCUUGAGGGACCACCUGUGGCGAAGGCGCCUCACCAGAACGGCUUCGACAGUGAGGGACGAAAGCUGGGGGAGCAAACCGGAUUAGAUACCCGGGUAGUCCCAGCCGUAAACGAUGCGCGUUAGGUGUACUGGUGACCACGAGUCACUGGGGUGCCGAAGGGAAACCGUGAAACGUGCCGCCUGGGAAGUACGGUCGCAAGGCUGAA
rnacentral:rRNA from 2 species